UCCUUGUGUAAGGUCACAUGAUAUGUUGUGAAGUCAUCAGUCUGGUGCUCAUUUCUUUUUGGUUGAAUAUAGUUUUUAGGAGGCAAUCAGGCUUAGGACACCCCCAACUUUUCUUGAAUCAUGGAAUCUAUAUUCAGUCUCUUGCAGAUUCAGCUAAAGAUGUGUAUAUGCUAGACUGUGAAGUACCAUUAGAAGAUGAAGCAAUGUAGGACCUCUUGAGCUAUUUUCAAGGUAAACUGGAGGUUCACUUGGGAUGCAAUGAAGAGCCCCUGACAAGCAUAUUCUUCAAAGCCUCCCAUGGUGUAACUGAAGAUACGAUAUGUGAAGUAGCCCUAGCUUGCCUGCUCAAGUGGACAAGAGCACUUUCACCAAAGGCCCACAUUGGCCUGAAAUAUCUUAUUUUGCCCAAGGCGUACUCAUGCCUGCACUCUCUUGUGGCCAUCAUUAGCACUUCUUCUCUUGAUUUUGUGAGCCUGCUAUAUCCCAACUCUUUAGGAUUACAUACAAACUUAUUUCUGCUACAUGUAUUCUGAGACAUUCCUCCAUGGAAGAAAGGGGUGUUGAUCUUUUCUUGUCUGACAAAAGUCUUCAAAGCCCAAAGACAACUGCUGGAAUGAAAUGCAACCUAUAGGACUGAUGGAAGAAUUGCUACCUGGACUUUCAAAUGGCAUGAAAAUAUAUGGACAUUCUAAAUACUGAAAAAGAAUAGGAAGCUGAUCAAGCAAUACUGGAUCUUCCUCUGCUCCACGAGAAUUCCCAGUGAUGUCCACGGUGCAAUAACAACUUUUUCCCAUGAAGUCUGGUAUAUUACCUUUUUGAUGACUGACACAACAGUCCUACUUCUGUAGGUGUCCUUUCACAUGCAGAGGAAUGUGUAGAUGGACAUAUAUUUGAAUAAGAUACUGAACCUAAGACUACUGCAUUAGAGCCUCGUACAAGAAUUCUAAGACUGUUGACUGCCUACCAUGGAUAUUCAGGGAGAUUAGAUCACUGUGACUACCUAUGCAGUCUUUCUCUACCUUUAAAGAUCCAAGGAACUAUUCUCACUCCAGUGACCUGUUAGAACCCGUUGACAGCUCACAAGUGGCUGUAAUUUCAGCAUCACGGAACCUCACACCUUCUUCAACCUCCUGGACAGUAGGCAUGCAUGUGUUGCACAUGUGAACAAGCAUAUGUACAACUAAAAGUAUAAAAACAGAAGAGCAGUUCCUGCUUGACAUAAUUUGAUUUUCGUGAAUAUUCAUAGUAAUGAUCACAGUCAAAUAAACACUUUAUUGUUCUAUAGUGCAAUCAAAACCACUAAAAG